GAGACACCCAAAUGGGGCAGGACUUUUUUAGUGGGGUUUUGGUGCUCACUGAGUCUACCCCUUGCGUGUGUCUCU
rnacentral:pre_miRNA from 1 species